GACGGAGGGUGCUAGCGUUGUCCGGAAUCACUGGGCGUAAAGGGCGCGCAGGCGGCCCGGUCAGUCGGGUGUGAAAGCCCGGGGCUCAACCCCGGAACGGCACCCGGGACGGCCGGGCUGGAGGCCGGGAGAGGGGGGUGGAAUAGCCAGUGUAGAGGUGAAAUUCGUAGAUAUUGGCUGGAACACCGGUGGCGAAAGCGGCCCCCUGGCCCGGUCCUGACGCUGAGGCGCGAAAGCGUGGGGAGCAAACAGG
rnacentral:rRNA from 1 species